rnacentral:rRNA from 1 species
GGUUAAGUGACUAAGCGUACACGGUGGAUGCCUAGGCAGUCAGAGGCGAUGAAGGGCGUGCUAAUCUGCGAAAAGCGUCGGUAAGGUGAUAUGAACCGUUAUAACCGGCGAUACCCGAAUGGGGAAACCCAGUGUGUUUCGACACACUAUCAUGUCAUGAAUACAUAGUGGCAUGAGGCGAACCGGGGGAACUGAAACAUCUAAGUACCCCGAGGAAAAGAAAUCAACCGAGAUUCCCCCAGUAGCGGCGAGCGAACGGGGAGGAGCCCAGAACCUGAAUCGGCUUGUGUGUUAGUGGAAGCGUCUGGAAAGUCGCGCAGCAAAGGGUGAUAGCCCCGUACACUAAAAUGCACAGGUCGUGAGUUCGAUGAGUAGGGCGGGACACGUGACAUCCUGUCUGAAUAUGGGGGGACCAUCCUCCAAGGCUAAAUACUCCUGACUGACCGAUAGUGAACCAGUACCGUGAGGGAAAGGCGAAAAGAACCCCGGCGAGGGGAGUGAAAUAGAACCUGAAACCGUGUACGUACAAGCAGUGGGAGCACCUUCGUGGUGUGACUGCGUACCUUUUGUAUAAUGGGUCAGCGACUUAUAUUUUGUAGCAAGGUUAACCGUAUAGGGGAGCCGUAGGGAAACCGAGUCUUAACUGGGCG